rnacentral:sRNA from 1 species
GUCCCUGGUGUCUGCUUUUUACGCCCAGUUUGGGGUGGAUGCUGGGGGUUAAGGAUUCCGGGCGCGUUCCAAUGGCAUGGAACAUACGACCCGUUUUCCGUGGAGACCCGGUCUUGUGCGACGACGAAGAGAACCUCUCGGAGGCCCGCUCGCGUACGAACCGGGAUUAGAACCUGCAAGGCAGUGCACAGAAUCGUGUUGCUGCGUGCAGCGUAGCCUGCCUUGAGUGAAUAUGCGGGGAAAGAGGAACAGGCGGCUGUCCGCUAUGGCCAUAGCGGAUGCCGAUAUCGCUUCUGGAAACCAUAUUUGCAAAAGAGGCUAAGACUACGGUGUUCUCUGCUGUGGAAAUCACCUAGGCUGUCGUAAUUGGGCAGGCGGGGGAUUGCGGUACGGACUAAGUGGCAAUCGGGUAUAUAUGCUGGCGACACAUAUGCGGCGGGAUGAAACGGAAACGGCCUGAACGGCAACGGCAGGUUCCCGCCGGGGAAAACAAACCCGACCUAAGCCGUAAGAUUUAUCCCGCCUGCUGCCGUCAUUUUUAUUU